rnacentral:rRNA from 1 species
GCAUGAAGUCGGAAUUGCUAGUAAUCGCGGAUCAGCAUGCCGCGGUGAAUACGUUCCCGGGCCUUGUACACACCGCCCGUCACACCAUGGGAGCCGGUAAUACCCGAAGUCAGUAGUCCAACCUCGUGAGGACGCUGCCGAAGGGUGGGAUUAGCGACUGGGGUGAAGUCGUAACAAGGUACC